rnacentral:tRNA from 1 species
GCGCCCGUAGCUCAGCUGGAUAGAGCAUCCGCCUUCUAAGCGGAUGGUCGCAGGUUCGAGUCCUGCCGGGUGUACCA